rnacentral:rRNA from 1 species
CCUACGGGCGGCAGCAGUGAGGAAUAUUGGUCAAUGGACGAAAGUCUGAACCAGCCAAGUAGCGUGAAGGAUGACUGCCCUAUGGGUUGUAAACUUCUUUUGUAUGGGGAUAAAACAGGGUAUGCGUAUCCACUUGUAUGUACCAUAUGAAUAAGGAUCGGCUAACUCCGUGCCAGCAGCCGCGGUAAUACGGAGGAUCCGAGCGUUAUCCGGAUUUAUUGGGUUUAAAGGGAGCGUAGGUGGAUUGUUAAGUCAGAGGUGAAAGUUUGGGGCUUAACUGGAGAAUUGCAGUUGAUACUGGUGGUCUAGAGAGUAGUAGAGGUAGGCGGAAUGUGUGGUGUAGCGGUGAAAUGCUUAGAGAUCAUACAGAACUCCGAUUGCGAAGGCAGCUCACCGGACUACAACUGACACUGAUGCACGAAAGUGUGGGGAUCAAACAGGAUUAGAUACCCCUGUAGUC